CUCAUGUGUGGCAGGGCUUGCACUAUGCAAUCAUGUUGCAGCUUUGCUCUACCAGACCUCACAUUACAGCCAGCAGGUAGCAACAGCUAUCCCCCCCACAGGGUCUGAGCAGCAGUGGCACAAACCUAGCACCCAGGGCUUUAAACCUGGUCCAACAAAUGAGAUUGUGGUGUUGUCAGCUAGGCCAAAGACAGAAGAUUGGCUGAAGUGAUCAGGAGUAACUUGUACAACGGGGCCUGCGACUGGACCUGUGACCUUCCAUACAUGUCAGUUCUGCGUGUGAAUGAGAUUUACCAAGGAAUGCCAAGGGAAACUGCUCCACCCACAACAACAAUGGGAAUAGCAUUUAUUCAAUUGUUUUUUCAAAGAAUAUUCAGAGACGGGAGAGUCAUAAAAACAAUCAAACAAAAGAUUGAUUAC